CCAGGUGUCCCCAGGUGUGUUUUUGAUGUCCCCAGGUGUCCCCAGGUGUGUUUUUGGCUCACCUGGCUGGCCUUUAUCCCCACGCUGGCCGCGAUCACCUCGCAGGCGGCCCCAGGUGUAUCCCAGGUGUGUCUGUGUGUGUCUCAGGUGUAUCCAGGUGUGUUCUAGGUGUCCCCAGGUGUCCCCAGGUGUGUUUUUGAUGUCCCCAGGUGUGUCCAGGUGUGGUUUUGGCUCACCUGGCUGGCCUUUGUCCCCACGCUGGCCGCGAUCACCUCGCAGGCGGCCCCAGGUGUGUCUGUGUGUGUCCCCAGGUGUCCCCAGGUGUGUCUGUGUGUAUCUCAGGUGUCCCCAGGUGUCCCCAGGUGUCCCCAGGUGUGUUUUUGGCUCACCUGGCUGGCCUUUGUCCCCACGCUGGCCGCGAUCACCUCGCAGGCGGCCCCAGGUGUGUCUGUGUGU